UAAGCGACUAAGCGUACACGGUGGAUGCCCUGGCAGUCAGAGGCGAUGAAGGACGUGCUAAUCUGCGAUAAGCGUCGGUAAGGUGAUAUGAACCGUUAUAACCGGCGAUUUCCGAAUGGGGAAACCCAGUGUGUUUCGACACACUAUCAUUAACUGAAUCCAUAGGUUAAUGAGGCGAACCGGGGGAACUGAAACAUCUAAGUACCCCGAGGAAAAGAAAUCAACCGAGAUUCCCCCAGUAGCGGCGAGCGAACGGGGAGCAGCCCAGAGCCUGAAUCAGUGUGUGUGUUAGUGGAAGCGUCUGGAAAGGCGCGCGAUACAGGGUGACAGCCCCGUACACAAAAAUGCACAUACUGUGAGCUCGAUGAGUAGGGCGGGACACGUGGUAUCCUGUCUGAAUAUGGGGGGACCAUCCUCCAAGGCUAAAUACUCCUGACUGACCGAUAGUGAACCAGUACCGUGAGGGAAAGGCGAAAAGAACCCCGGCGAGGGGAGUGAAAAAGAACCUGAAACCGUGUACGUACAAGCAGUGGGAGCCGCUUGGUGACUGCGUACCUUUUGUAUAAUGGGUCAGCGACUUAUAUUCUGUAGCAAGGUUAACCGAAUAGGGGAGCCGAAGGGAAACCGAGUCUUAACGGGCGUUAAGUUGCAGGGUAUAGACCCGAAACCCGGUGAUCUAGCCAUGGGCAGGUUGAAGGUUGGGUAACACUAACUGGAGGACCGAACCGACUAAUGUUGAAAAAUUAGCGGAUGACUUGUGGCUGGGGGUGAAAGGCCAAUCAAACCGGGAGAUAGCUGGUUCUCCCCGAAAGCUAUUUAGGUAGCGCCUCGUGAAUUCAUCUCCGGGGGUAGAGCACUGUUUCGGCAAGGGGGUCAUCCCGACUUACCAACCCGAUGCAAACUGCGAAUACCGGAGAAUGUUAUCACGGGAGACACACGGCGGGUGCUAACGUCCGUCGUGAAGAGGGAAACAACCCAGACCGCCAGCUAAGGUCCCAAAGUCAUGGUUAAGUGGGAAACGAUGUGGGAAGGCCCAGACAGCCAGGAUGUUGGCUUAGAAGCAGCCAUCAUUUAAAGAAAGCGUAAUAGCUCACUGGUCGAGUCGGCCUGCGCGGAAGAUGUAACGGGGCUAAACCAUGCACCGAAGCUGCGGCAGCGACACUGUGUGUUGUUGGGUAGGGGAGCGUUCUGUAAGCCUGUGAAGGUGUACUGUAAGGUAUGCUGGAGGUAUCAGAAGUGCGAAUGCUGACAUAAGUAACGAUAAAGCGGGUGAAAAGCCCGCUCGCCGGAAGACCAAGGGUUCCUGUCCAACGUUAAUCGGGGCAGGGUGAGUCGACCCCUAAGGCGAGGCCGAAAGGCGUAGUCGAUGGGAAACAGGUUAAUAUUCCUGUACUUGGUGUUACUGCGAAGGGGGGACGGAGAGGGCUAUGUUGGCCGGGCGACGGUUGUCCCGGUUUAAGCGUGUAGGCUAGGUUUUCCAGGCAAAUCCGGAAAAUCAAGGCUGAGGCGUGAUGACGAGGCACUACGGUGCUGAAGCAACAAAUGCCCUGCUUCCAGGAAAAGCCUCUAAGCAUCAGGUAACAUCAAAUCGUACCCCAAACCGACACAGGUGGUCAGGUAGAGAAUACCAAGGCGCUUGAGAGAACUCGGGUGAAGGAACUAGGCAAAAUGGUGCCGUAACUUCGGGAGAAGGCACGCUGAUAUGUAGGUGAAGUCCCUCGCGGAUGGAGCUGAAAUCAGUCGAAGAUACCAGCUGGCUGCAACUGUUUAUUAAAAACACAGCACUGUGCAAACACGAAAGUGGACGUAUACGGUGUGACGCCUGCCCGGUGCCGGAAGGUUAAUUGAUGGGGUCAGCGCAAGCGAAGCUCUUGAUCGAAGCCCCGGUAAACGGCGGCCGUAACUAUAACGGUCCUAAGGUAGCGAAAUUCCUUGUCGGGUAAGUUCCGACCUGCACGAAUGGCGUAAUGAUGGCCAGGCUGUCUCCACCCGAGACUCAGUGAAAUUGAACUCGCUGUGAAGAUGCAGUGUACCCGCGGCAAGACGGAAAGACCCCGUGAACCUUUACUAUAGCUUGACACUGAACAUUGAGCCUUGAUGUGUAGGAUAGGUGGGAGGCUUUGAAGUGUGGACGCCAGUCUGCAUGGAGCCGACCUUGAAAUACCACCCUUUAAUGUUUGAUGUUCUAACGUGGACCCGUGAUCCGGGUUGCGGACAGUGUCUGGUGGGUAGUUUGACUGGGGCGGUCUCCUCCUAAAGAGUAACGGAGGAGCACGAAGGUUGGCUAAUCCUGGUCGGACAUCAGGAGGUUAGUGCAAUGGCAUAAGCCAGCUUGACUGCGAGCGUGACGGCGCGAGCAGGUGCGAAAGCAGGUCAUAGUGAUCCGGUGGUUCUGAAUGGAAGGGCCAUCGCUCAACGGAUAAAAGGUACUCCGGGGAUAACAGGCUGAUACCGCCCAAGAGUUCAUAUCGACGGCGGUGUUUGGCACCUCGAUGUCGGCUCAUCACAUCCUGGGGCUGAAGUAGGUCCCAAGGGUAUGGCUGUUCGCCAUUUAAAGUGGUACGCGAGCUGGGUUUAGAACGUCGUGAGACAGUUCGGUCCCUAUCUGCCGUGGGCGCUGGAGAACUGAGGGGGGCUGCUCCUAGUACGAGAGGACCGGAGUGGACGCAUCACUGGUGUUCGGGUUGUCAUGCCAAUGGCACUGCCCGGUAGCUAAAUGCGGAAGAGAUAAGUGCUGAAAGCAUCUAAGCACGAAACUUGCCCCGAGAUGAGUUCUCCCUGACCCUUUAAGGGUCCUGAAGGAACGUUGAAGACGACGACGUUGAUAGGCCGGGUGUGUAAGCGCAGCGAUGCGUUGAGCUAACCGGUACUAAUGAACCGUGAGGCUUAACCU
rnacentral:rRNA from 1 species